GAUGAACGCUGGCGGCGUGCUUAACACAUGCAAGUCGAACGAACCUUCGGGUUAGUGGCGGACGGGUGAGUAACGCGUGAGAAUCUGCCCUCAGGAGGGGGAUAACGGUUGGAAACGGCCGCUAAUACCCCAUAUGCCGCGAGGUGAAAUGAAUUUCGCCUGAGGAUGAGCUCGCGUCUGAUUAGCUAGUUGGUGUAGGUAAUGGCUCACCAAGGCAUCGAUCAGUAGCUGGUCUGAGAGGAUGAUCAGCCACACUGGGACUGAGACACGGCCCAGACUCCUACGGGAGGCAGCAGUGGGGAAUUUUCCGCAAUGGGCGAAAGCCUGACGGAGCAACGCCGCGUGAGGGAUGAAGGCCUCUGGGCUGUAAACCUCUUUUAUCAAGGAAGAAGAUCUGACGGUACUUGAUGAAUAAGCCACGGCUAAUUCCGUGCCAGCAGG
rnacentral:rRNA from 1 species